rnacentral:rRNA from 1 species
UACGUAGGGGGGCAAGCGUUGUCCGGAAUUAUUGGGCGUAAAGAGCGUGUAGGCGGCCAGAUAAGUCCGCUGUGAAAUCUCGAGGCUCAACUUCGAGCUGUCGGUGGAAACUAUCUGGCUAGAGUCCGGAAGAGGAGAAUGGAAUUCCUGGUGUAGCGGUGAAAUGCGCAGAUAUCAGGAAGAACACCCGUGGCGAAGGCGGCUCUCUGAGACGGUACUGACGCUGAGACGCGAAAGCGUGGGGAGCAAACAGG